rnacentral:piRNA from 1 species
UACUGAGGUGGAUCAAUGAUGAA